GGGUCGGUAGCUCAGCUGGUAGAGCAGAUCCCUCUUAAGGAUAAGGUCCUGGGUUCGAUCCCCAGCCGACCCACUA
rnacentral:tRNA from 2 species